rnacentral:misc_RNA from 1 species
GGAUAACCAAACCUCUAUAAAAUCUCUUGUGUUCUUUCUUUCCUUCCUUUUCCUUGUGCAUUUUGCUUAAUAAUCUCCACCUAUCCUUCAAUUUUUUUUUUAUUAAAACUCAAUUCAUCCCCACUCUUGGGUUACUACAAGGGAUAAUAAUUAGUAUCAAAGCUAAGUCUUCAUUUUCUUAAGAUUUAACCAUAUUGGAGCAAAGAUCAUGGCAACUCUCAACUCACAAGCUCAAGAAAGUCAAUCAAUGGUAAAUCUCCCUUUCUUUGAUGGAAAUGAUUUUCUCUAUUAGAAGAGUAGGAUGUAUUACUUCCUCAAAUCAGAAGGAGUGAAUUUA